GACGAACGCUGGCGGCGUGCCUAACACAUGCAAGUCGAACGGAAAGGCCCUGCGUUUGUGGGGUGCUCGAGGGGCGAGGGGGUGAGUAACACGUGAGUAUCCUGCCCUUGACUUUGGGAGAACUUCAGGAAAAUGGGGCUCAUACCGGAUAGGAGCUCCUGCUGCAUGGUGGUGGUUGGUAAAUUUCGGCGGUUGGGGAUGGACUCGCGGCUUAUCAGCUUGUUGGUGUGGUAGUGGCUUUCCAAGGCUUUGACGGGUAGCCGGCCUGAGAGGGUGACCGGCCACCUGGGGACUGAGAUACGGCCCAGAAUCCUACGGGAGGCAGCAGUCGGGAAUCUUGCCAAAUGGGCGGAAGCCUGAUGCAGAAGCGCCGGGUGCGGGAUGACGGCCUUCGGGUGGUAAACCGCUUUCGCCUGUGACGAAGCGUGAUUGACGGUAAUGGGUAAAGAAGCACCGGCUAACUACGUG
rnacentral:rRNA from 1 species